rfam:Hordeum vulgare subsp. vulgare, WGS project CAJW01000000 data, contig: morex_contig_1023753
GAAAGCCGUAUUCGAUGAAAGUCGUAUGUACGGCUUGGAGGGAGAUC